AAGUACUUAUACGACUGACGGAAGUGGAAUGGACCACAUGAAGUAUAGGGAAUGAUAAGAGCCGACCGUCUGGGCAUAAAAU
rnacentral:ncRNA from 2 species